AAAAAGUUUUAACGUAACUCAUUGGCUCUUACAAGUCAUGGGGCAUCCCUGAACGAAGGGAACUUGGGUGAACCAUCCCUGAGUCUACACAUCUGCCAUUCGCCAGGGCUACCGGGGACACUGUCUAAACCAGGCUUCUUGGCUCCACCUCUGAGAUUCUUACUAGAUCUGGACUGGAGAAUGAGAACCCCAGGGAUUCUACUGGCUUCCUGCUCUUGCCAAUUCUCAGAUGGGCUCUACACAACCAUGGUGGCGGAGACCAGGAUCGAGAACCAGAGUGACGAGCAUGUCUCGAGGGGGCAGCAGUGCACUGGAGUCGGCCCGAGUCAGCCUGAACUGAGGGGGAAGGUUCAGAAAUUUUGUCAGCCCAUUGUUUACCACAGGCGUUAUUAAAUAUUAUUAUGUUAACUUGUGAUGAGAUAAAUUACAUUAAAAACAAAGGGAACAAAUACUCAAAAC
rnacentral:lncRNA from 1 species